AUUGAACGCUGGCGGCAGGCCUAACACAUGCAAGUCGAGCGGCUGAACUGUUCUUGCUCCUUGUUUCAGCUGCCGACUGGUGUUUUAUUCCUAUGUAUCUGCCUGUUUGUUUUUUAUUACGUCCUGACACGGGCUCUCAUACCGCAUACGUCCUUACGGCGUAAGUUUUGUAUCUUCGGACCUUCCGCUCUUUUUUGAUUCUAUGUCGGAUUAGCUAGUUGGUUGGGUAAAGGCCUACCAAGGCGACGAUCCGUAACUGGUCUGAGAGUAUGAUCAGUAAAACUGGAACUGAGACACGGACAAGACUACUAAGGGAGGCAGAAGUGGGGAAUAUUGGACAAUGGGCGAAAGCAUGAUCAAGCAAUGCCGCGUGUGUGAAGAAGGACUUCGGAUUGUAAAGAACUUUAAGUGGGGAGGAAGGGCAGUAAGUUAAUAACUAGAUGUUUUGACGUUACCAAAAGAAUAAGCACCGGCUAACUUAGUG
rnacentral:rRNA from 1 species